UACGUAGGGUGCAAGCGUUAAUCGGAAUUACUGGGCGUAAAGCGUGCGCAGGCGGUUUUGUAAGUCUGACGUGAAAGCCCCGGGCUUAACCUGGGAAUUGCGUUGGAGACUGCAAGGCUUGAAUCUGGCAGAGGGGGGUAGAAUUCCACGUGUAGCAGUGAAAUGCGUAGAGAUGUGGAGGAACACCGAUGGCGAAGGCAACCCCCUGGGUCAAGAUUGACGCUCAUGCACGAAAGCGUGGGGAGCAAACAGG
rnacentral:rRNA from 1 species